rnacentral:tRNA from 1 species
GCCUCUGUGGUCUAGUGGUAGAAGCUUCGGUUCAUGACCCAGAGGUCCCGGGUUCGAUUCCCGGGUGGGACC